rnacentral:rRNA from 1 species
GAUGAACGCUGGCGGCGUGCUUAACACAUGCAAGUCGAACGGGAUCCAAGGGGUGCUUGCACUUUUUGGUGAGAGUGGCGAACGGGGGAGUAACACGUGAGUAACCUGUCCUUUUCUUUGGGAUAAGCAUUCGAAAGGGUGUUUAAUACCUUAUGUUCUGUCUGCCUCGCAUGGGGUGGGUGGGAAAGGCUUCGGCCGGAUUUGGGUGGGCUCGCGGUCUAUCAGCUUGUUGGGGGGGUGAUGGCUUACCACGGCUUUGAGGGGUAGCCGGACUGAGAGGGUGGUCGGACACGUUGGGCGUGCGAGACGGCCCAGAGUCGCGCCGGUGGCAGCAGUGGGGGAUAGUGCACAAUGGGCGAACGCCCAAUGCAGCUACGUGGCGUGGGCGAUGGAGUUCUUCAGGUUGUAAGCUGCUUUUGCUCUGAACCAGGCAUGUCAGUCGCUGUUUUGAGUGUAGGCAUUGAUUAGCGCCGGCCAACUACGUG